rnacentral:rRNA from 1 species
AUACGAAGGGAGCUAGCGUUGUUCGGAAUUACUGGGCGUAAAGCGCACGUAGGUGGAUCAAUCAGUUGAGGGUGAAAUCCUGGGGCUCAACCCCAGAACUGCCUCCGAAACUGGCAAUCUCGAGUCCGGAAGAGGUGAGUGGAAUUCCCAGUGUAGAGGUGAAAUUCGUAGAUAUUGGGAAGAACACCAGUGGCGAAGGCGGCUCACUGGUCCGGUACUGACGCUGAGGUGCGAAAGCGUGGGGAGCAAACAGGAUUAGAAACCCCAGUAGUCC